rnacentral:snoRNA from 7 species
CCUGUGUGAUGAGACAUGAAUACACUGACUUCAAUCAUGGAGGUCUGCAAUUAGCUCUAUCUGAC